rnacentral:lncRNA from 1 species
GACUCAUCUAAUUAUCAACACCCAUCAUCCCAAGUAUCAGUAUAUAUAUACUGUUCCAAUAAUCCAAUUAGAUUUACACAAUUUUCGUAUCAACAACGAUUUUUCAAUUUUCGUAUCAUUCAGAAGAUUGUUAAUUCUUGAUUCAUUGAACGCAAAAGAACAUUUCCACACAGAUUCUGUUUUUACUUUGAAAAGAACCAUGCCGUUAUUGUUGCCACGUGCUCCUAGUGGAGUAAUCCUUGGCAUCUGGACAAUUCAAACAUUUUGAAACAUUCAAGACACAAUUUUUCUUGUUUCCACUGCAUCACUGUAGGUAGUUUCAGAGAGCUAUCCCUACUCAAUCUGUCUCUUUUCAUUUGCAUACUAUAUCAUAACUGAUAUGUUCAAUUUUCAAGAAGUGUAGGUCAGUAAAUA